CAGGGAGGACGACCUCCCGAUUUUCCACAUCAGCGACCGGGACGACCCGG
rnacentral:ncRNA from 1 species